CUGGCUCAGGGGCCUCAGAAUGGAGCCAUUCUGGGUCCCAGGACGUCUGUGUCUCAAGGAAAGUAGCUCACCUACUCCAGGACUCAUCAGGACCUCAAGGGAGCCACUAAGAGGACUAUAAGUUUGGACUGAUUCAUUACCCUCUAAUAUGAAGCAUGCCUUAUUCCAGAAGGUAUCGUGGCUGGCCUCCUUUAUGUCCAGCCUGUUCAUGGUGGAGACAAGGUUGCCAAAACUCUAAACUGCCAAAAUGAUGGGACAUUUUUUUUUAAAGCUGAUGCUCUGAAUAAAACCAUCAUUCUCAUUAUCAAAAGGCUGCCAACAAUGAAUCCUGACAUAUAUUCUCCCCACCCCAAACAGCAGUCUUAAGAGAUCUUUUCCCCUAAUGCCACCCUCCUCUGAAUGACUGAGGAGGUCUGAGCACAGAACAUCCCAGAGCUGGGAAAUAAGUUCACCCCUGGGAGCACAGCCCUGCGACCAGAGAAGAAGGAGAUUGGUUUGAAAAGAAACCACCUUACAAAAAUUAUUGAAUUUCCUAUGAAUUCCAAGACAUCAGACAUCCUUGCAAACCACUUCCCCUAUAAUAAAAUUCAAGCACAAAAAUGUGAACAUCU